rnacentral:rRNA from 1 species
CAAGUCGAAUGGAGGGCUUUUGAAGCUUGCUUUAAAGGCUCUUAGUGGCGAACGGGUGAGUAACACGUGAGUUACCUGCCCCGAAGUGGGAGAUAGCCCGGAGAAAUUCGGAUUAAUACCCCAUGUGAUCGAAAGAUUAAAGGCGGCGCAAGCUGUCGCUUCGGGAUGGGCUCGCGGCCUAUCAGCUAGUUGGCGGGGUAACGGCCCACCAAGGCGAUGACGGGUAGCUGAUCUGAGAGGAUGAUCAGUCACACUGGAACUGAGACACGGUCCAGACACCUACGGGUGGCAGCAGUCGAGAAUCAUUCGCAAUGGGCGAAAGCCUGACGGUGCGACGCCGCGUGGAGGAUGAAGGCCCUAGGGUCGUAAACUCCUGUCAUCAGGGAGUAAGGGCUUGCGCAGUCACUGGCGCGGGCAUUGAUAGUACCUGAAGAGGAAGGGACGGCAAACUUCGUGCCAGCAGCCGCGGUAAUACGAAGGUCCCAAGCGUUGUUCGGAUUUACUGGGCGUAAAGAGUCUGUAGGCGGCGGGGUAAGUCAGAUGUGAAAUCCCGGGGCUCAACCCCGGAACUGCAUCCGAUACUGCCUUGCUUGAGUAUUGGAGGGGAGCCUGGAAUUCUCGGUGUAGCAGUGAAAUGCGUAGAUAUCGAGAGGAACACUAGUGGCGAAGGCGAGGCUCUGGACAAUUACUGACGCUGAGAGACGAAGGUCAGGGGAGCGAAAAGGAUUAGAUACCCUUGUAGUCCUGACAGUAAACGGUGCACGCUUGGUGUGGGAGGGUUCGACCCCUUCCGUGCCGGAGCUAACGCGUUAAGCGUGCCGCCUGGGGAGUACGGUCGCAAGAUUAAAACUCAAAGAAAUUGACGG